GGUCGCUUAGCUCAGCGGGAGAGCACUACCUUCACACGGUAGGGGUCACUGGUUCGAUCCCAGUAGCGACCACCA
rnacentral:tRNA from 1 species